rnacentral:rRNA from 1 species
GAAACUAACAAGGAUUCCCCUAGUAGCGGCGAGCGAAGCGGGAAGAGCUCAAAUUUAUAAUCUGGCACCUUCGGUGUCCGAGUUGUAAUCUCUAGAAGUGUUUUCCGCGUUGGACCGCACACAAGUCUGUUGGAAUACAGCGGCAUAGUGGUGAAACCCCCGUAUAUGGUGCGGACGCCCAGCGCUUUGUGAUACACUUUCAAUGAGUCGAGUUGUUUGGGAAUGCAGCUCAAAUUGGGUGGUAAAUUCCAUCUAAAGCUAAAUAUUGGCGAGAGACCGAUAGCGAACAAGUACCGUGAGGGAAAGAUGAAAAGCACUUUGGAAAGAGAGUUAACAGUACGUGAAAUUGUUGGAAGGGAAACGCUUGAAGUCAGACUUGCUUGCCGGAGCUUGCUUCGGUUUGCAGGCCAGCAUCAGUUUUCCGGGGUGGAUAAUGACGGUUUGAAGGUAGCAGUCUCGGCUGUGUUAUAGCUUUCCGUUGGAUACAUCCUGGGGGACUGAGGAACGCAGCGUGCUUUUUGCGAAAGACUCGU